UUCAUUCUCUGAACAAGAACCUUCUGUAGAGCAGAUUUUAAAUUUUAAUGAAGUUCAGCUUAAUUUUUUUCUUUCAUGGUUUGCUUUCUCUGUGUUUCAUCUGAAAAGUCAUCAAUACAUCGAAGAUCAUUGAAGUUUUCUUCUACAUUUUCUUCUGGAAGUUUUAUAGUUUUGUAUUUCACAUUUAUGCCUAUAAUACAUUUAUAGAUAGUUUCUCUGAAAAGUGUAAAGUCUGUAUCUAGAUAUUGUUUCACAUUUGGAUGUCUACUAUUCCAAGGCCAUUUGUGAAAGGAUUAUCAUUUCUUCAAGGAGUUGCCUUUGCUUCUCUGUCAAAAAUCAGUUGACUGUAUUUAGGGCCAUUUUUUCUGGGGAAGCCAGCCACUGUGGCAUGAGGACCCUCUGCUAUUGCCAUGGAGAGAGACAUACUGCAAAGAACUGAGGCUUCCUGCCAACACUCACAGGUCACACAGAGAGAGAGAGAGAGGCAGAGACACAGGCAGAGGGAGAAGCAGGC